AACCUCGUGGAGCGCAUGGGAUUCAUCGGAUAAGGAGGCAACUAGGAUCGAACUAGUCACCUAUCGGACUGCAGGCGAUUGGCUAGGUUUACAGAGAAUGCGAGGGAGGAGGGAGCGAGAAAUGGCGUAGAAGCAGCCGGCAGCGAUUGCGGCGCUGGCGUCCCUGAUCUGCGAAGCAUCGGAAACGUCCCGAUGGCUGGAUGGACUACGCUGCGAAACGAAUAGCACAACUGGGUGCAGCUAACUGUUCCAAGAACAUAUACUAUCGCCAAAGCCAUUGUUUUGGCCGCGCCAGUUUGAGACAGGUGGGAAACUUGGAAGACGGAGUUUGGAAAGGAGACAGAUGCUCGCGAUAUUGUCAUCUGAGACAAUGAGGCACCAGUGACCACGAAAUACACAAAGCAUGUUGCCAUGAAACGGAGUUUUCGGUUGAUGCUCGUGGAGUUGUAAGAAACCUGCUUGAGGUUGCAAAGGGAUCUGCAUCGGAAACUUCCCGAUGGCUGGAUGGACUACGCUGCGAAACGAAUAGCACAACUGGGUGCAGCUAACUGUUCCAAGAACAUAUACUAUCGCCAAAGCCAUUGUUUUGGCCGCGCCAGUUUGAGACAGGUGGGAAACUUGGAAGACGGAGUUUGGAAAGGACAUAGAUGCUCGCGAUAUUGUCAUCUGAGACAAUGAGGCACCAGUGACCACGAAAUACACAAAGGAUGUUGCCAUGAAACGGAGUUUUCGGUUGAUGCUCGUGGAGUCGUAAGAAACCUGCUUGAGGUUGCAAAGGGAUCUGCAUCGGAAACUUCCCGAUGGCUGGAUGGACUACGCUGCGAAACGAAUAGCACAACUGGGUGCAGCUAACUGUUCCAAGAACAUAUACUAUCGCCAAAGCCAUUGUUUUGGCCGCGCCAGUUUGAGACAGGUGGGAAACUUGGAAGACGGAGUUUGGAAAGGACAUAGAUGCUCGCGAUAUUGUCAUCUGAGACAAUGAGGCACCAGUGACCACGAAAUACACAAAGCAUGUUGCCAUGAAACGGAGUUUUCGGUUGAUGCUCGUGGAGUUGUAAGAAACCUGCUUGAGGUUGCAAAGGGAUCUGACACUGGAAAUGAACGAAAACUCAUGGCUUCCAUGGGAAAAGGAAACAAAUGGGGAGUGCUCAGCUUCUUUUUCCCGUGAAAAGUCUUGUUAUUUGCAAGAAGAAAAGUGAUGCCGGGCGAAGCACGAGAGGAUGAUACCACGCACUGUUCUGGUACUGA